rnacentral:rRNA from 1 species
UACAGAGGAGCCAAGCGUUGUCCGGAUUGACUGGGCGUAAAGCGCACGCAGGCGGUUGCGCGCGUGGGGUGUGAAAUCUGGCCGCUUAACGGCCAGGCGCCAUCCCAUACGGCGCGACUGGAGUGAUGCAGAGGUCGAUGGAAUUGCCGGUGUAGUGGUGAAAUGCGUAGAGAUCGGCAGGAACACCCAGGGGGAAACCAGGCGACUGGGCAUCUACUGACGCUGAGGUGCGAGAGCGUGGGGAGCGAACCGG